rnacentral:lncRNA from 1 species
GCCUAACCUUGGCUUUUUUGCCGAUGGUGAAAACACCAAGUCCCUUUCUCUUCUUCACAGAAAGGAGACAUAGUGAGAAAUUUUGGGAGAGGGAAUGACAAAAUCAUACCAUUUUGCAUGUCGAAGAUCCUCUGUGAUUUUGACAAAGAUGGAGAUGGCUCAAAAUUAAGUUUGGGUUUCAGAUAUGUGGUUUUUGCAUAGUGGCAAAGACAGAGAUGGAGCUACGAUGCGAGAUUAGAAAGAAAAGUUGAAGGUUUUGAAUGCCAGGGAUAUAAGGGUUUAGGAGCUGAGAUGCA